ACAUGUACACCAGCAGCAGCUGAAUAGAGAACAAGAAUAAGGGAAUAAGGGGGACAUUCUUAACUAGAUCUAUCCUCGAUCUUUUUGCCAUCACGUACAUGGCGGUGGCCAAGCAGACCACGAUCGCCGCCGCUGUGCUGGUCAUCGCUGCGAUCCUGUUGUGUUCCUCUCCAUGCUACCAAGCUGGAAACUUCUUCGGCUGCGAGCAGUGCUUUCGCCCCGAGGGUUCCUGUACCACGGAGAGAUGCCACACGCAGUGCCAAUCCAAAGGAUACAAAACCAGCAAUCCCCACUGUAAACUGUGUAGGACUGCUGAACUGUGGUGCUGCUGCACUUGAUGUUUGUUCUCUCUCACCCACCCCAGCAUGUGAAGUGAAAAGUAUUUAAUACCAACCAGAAUCAUUAAUAAAUAACCAAGGUAUCAUUUGGUUCGCGAAGUGUAACGUAAGUGGUAAUAGUAAUAAUAUAUGAUUCACACUUGAAUACCAA